CCGCGUGUGUGAAGAAGGCCUUCGGGUUGUAAAGCACUUUCGGCCGGAACGAAAUCGCGCGAGCUAACACCCCGCGUGGAUGACGGUACCGGAAGAAGAAGCACCGGCUAACUACGUGCCAGCAGCCGCGGUAAUACGUAGGGUGCGAGCGUUAAUCGGAAUUACUGGGCGUAAAGUGUGCGCAGGUGGCCGCGCAAGUCGAGUGUGAAAUCCCCGGGCUUAACUUGGGAAUUGCGCUCGAAACUACGUGGCUGGAGUGUGGCAGAGGAAGGUGGAAUUCCACGUGUAGCGGUGAAAUGCGUAGAGAUGUGGAGGAACACCAAUGGCGAAGGCAGCCUUCUGGGCCAACACUGACACUCAUGCACGAAAGCGUGGGGAGCAAACAGGAUUAGAUACCCUGGUAGUCCACGCCCUAAACGAUGAUGACUAGUUGUUGGAGGAGUUAAAUCCUUUAGUAACGCAGCUAACGCGUGAAGUCAUCCGCCUGGGGAGUACGGUCGCAAGAUUA
rnacentral:rRNA from 1 species